AUUGAACGCUGGCGGCAGGCCUAACACAUGCAAGUCGAGCGGAGCGGCGGACGGGUGAGUAAUGCCUAGGUAUCUGCCUGGUCGUGGGGGAUAACGUCCGGAAACGGGCGCUAAUACCGCAUACUAUCAGAUGAGCCUAGGUCGGAUUAGCUAGUUGGUGGGGUAAAGGCCUACCAGGGCGACGAUCCGUAACUGGUCUGAGAGGAUGAUCAGUCAAACUGGAACUGAGACACGGGCCAGACGCCUUCGGGAGGCAGCAGUGGGGAAUAGUGGACAAUGGGGGAAAGCCUGUUCCAGCCAUGCCGCGUGUGUGAAGAAGGUCUUCGGAUUGUAAAGCACGUUAAGUUGGGAGGCGUUACCCGCAGAAGAAGCACCGGCUAACUCCGUGCCAGCAGCCGCGGUAAUAC
rnacentral:rRNA from 1 species